AUGGUCUCGUCGAUGAAGCACUGCAGAGAUCAGGCCGAGGUGCCACUGUCCCUCUCGCUCUCCCUCGGUGUCGUGGCUGACCGGAACAAGAAGAUGCGCCGCAGUGCGGACGGCGAGUUCGUGUGCAAGACGUGCGGCCGCUCGUUCCCGUCGUUCCAGGCGCUGGGCGGGCACCGGACAAGCCACCUCCGUGGCCGUCAUGGGCUUGCCCUCAGCCUCGCCCAGGGUUCCGAGCCGGCGACCAAGAAGGCCACGAAGCAGAACCUGGCGCACCAGUGCCACGUCUGCGGGCUUGAGUUCGAGCUGGGGCAGGCCCUAGGCGGCCACAUGCGCCGGCACCGCGAACAGGAAGCCACCACCAUGGCGCAGGCGCCGCCCGUUCUGCUACAGCUCUUCGUCUAG
rnacentral:rRNA from 1 species